rnacentral:rRNA from 1 species
UACAGAGGGCCCUAGCGUUGUUCGGAUUCACUGGGCGUAAAGGGUGCGCAGGUGGGCUGUCAAGUUUGAUGUGAAAGCCCCGGGCUCAACCUGGGAAUUGCAUUUGAGACUGCGUAGCUAGGGUGCGGAAGAGGGAAGCGGAAUUUCCGGUGUAGCGGUGAAAUGCGUAGAUAUCGGAAGGAACACCAGUGGCGAAAGCGGCUUCCUGGUCCAGCACCGACGUUCAGGCACGAAAGCGUGGGGAGCAAACAGG